rnacentral:misc_RNA from 1 species
CAAAUUCUAGUAGAUCAACAAAUUACAAGUCUAGUGUUAUAGUCUUUUGUUAAUAGAAGUACUCGUAGGAGGUGGAAAUAAAAAAGGGGCGCCUUUUUAAAGCCUUAAGUUUGGAAUACGGCAUGCGCCUAGGUACAUAAGGCGAGCGCCUAUUAAAGGUCACUUGCGUUUCAAUUGUAAAGGUGUUAGGGUAGGAGCUUUGUGAGCCUUGAGCCUAAAUCAUGCCUGAGACAUGCCUUUAAUAACACUGUCUCAGAGGUCCACACAAGGAAACAAAUAAAAAUAGCGCCUUGGAUCACUCAUGGCAACUUAUAUGGAGGGACAAACGGCACUACCUUUCUCACCAUUUUGAUCUUCUUCCCAAACAUAGAAAGACAAAGAAAAAAGAAGAUAUUUUCUAAUUUUUAUCAUACUUACAUUUAACCAAUCAAUUGAAAUGGAAACAAGAAAUGCACUCAAAAUGUAAUAAAUGAUAAAAAUUGGUAGAAUGGGAGAAAAGCUAAUAUCAGGAAGAAAAUAACCUCCAUAUGCACAAGGUAACUUUUGCCAAAUCUAGAGUUAGCAUUUUAGCAUUUGAAGAAUAUAGGCUUGCUUAGCUGAACUCAAAAAUUAGUUUGUUGUGCAUAUAUGCAUUUAAUGAACAGAGUUUAUCCCUUUUAUUGGAGGAAAAAAAGGUUAUUUAGAAGAAAAAGGUCGUGGGAGUUUCCAAAACAAAAUCGGCAUUCAUUCACAUAUUGGGAGUUAGGAUCAACUUACCCAGUAUUAAUAAACACUUUAUGCUUGGACCUCAAGUAAGCCUGUGUAGAGUUUUACAGCCAAACAAUCGAAGUGUGCAAACCUAAAACCUUAAAAUAUGAUCAAUAGAAACCAUUUUAAGACUUCUAUAAUGAUAAUUUAAGCUGUGUUAUAGCCUUGAUGUUCUUAUAACUGUUCCUCUUAAAAAAAAUCAUAAUUUAAUAUUAGAGGAACAUUCCACAGAAAGCAUAAGAGUGUGUGAUCCAAGUACAUGCAAAAAAACAACAGCACAAAUUGAAGAAAUAGAAACUAAAGAAAAGGGAGAGAGAGAGAGAGAGA